rnacentral:rRNA from 1 species
GUGAGAAACUUUGCCGUCGAAAGCCUUAGGUUUCCUGGGGAAGGUUCGUCCUCCCAGGGUAAGUCGGGACCUAAGCCGAGGCCGAAAGGCGUAGGUGAUGGACAACAGGUAGAUAUUCCUGUACCACCGACAGUCGUUUAAAUGAAGCAAUGACACAGAAGGAUAGUCAAACCGCGUUGAUGGAUAUAUGCGGCCAAAUCAUUAGGCUUAUGUGUAGUGAAGUACGCACAUAGUUAAGGCUGAGUGAUGAUGGGGAGUGAAAACUAGUAAUGAAGUUGAUGAUUCCACGCUGGCGAGAAAAGUUGCUAAAUAUGACUGAAGGUGCCCGUACCGCAAACCGACACAGGUAGGUGAGGAGAAAAUCCUAAGACGAGCGGGAUAACCCAUGUUAAGGAACUCUGCAAAAUCACCCCGUAACUUAGGGAGAAGGGGUACCACGCAAGUGGUCGCAGUGAAGAGGCCCAAGCGACUGUUUACCAAAAACACAGGUCUCUGCUAAAUCGUAAGAUGAAGUAUAGGGGCUGACGCCUGCCCAGUGCUGGAAGGUUAAGGGGAUGUGUUAGCGCAAGCGAAGCACGGAACUUAAGCCCCAGUGAACGGCGGCCGUAACUAUAACGGUCCUAAGGUAGCGAAAUUCCUUGUCAGGUAAGUUCUGACCCGCACGAAUGGCGUAACGAUUUGGGCGCUGUCUCAACAUGGGACCCGGCGAAAUUGUAGUAUACGUGAAGAUGCGUAUUACCCGCGACUGGACGGAAAGACCCCGUAGAGCUUUACUGUAGUCUGAUAUUGGAUUUCGGUGAUUUAUGUACAGGAUAGGUGGGAGACUUUGAAGCAUAGGCGUCAGCUUAUGUGGAGUCAACCUUGGGAUACCACCCUUAAAUUAUUGAGGUUCUAACUUUGUGCCGUGAAUCCGGGCAGAGAACAGUGUCAGAUGGGCAGUUUGACUGGGGCGGUCGCCUCCUAAAAUGUAACGGAGGCGUCCAAAGGUUCCCUCAGGAUGGUUGGAAAUCAUCCAAAGAGUAUAAAGGCAGAAGGGAGCUUAACUGCGAGACAGACAUGUCGAGCAGAUACGAAAGUAGGGCU